UACGUAGGGUGCGAGCGUUGUCCGGAAUUAUUGGGCGUAAAGGGCUCGUAGGCGGUUUGUCGCGUCGGGAGUGAAAUCCACUGGCUUAACUGGUGGCUUGCUUUCGAUACGGGCAGACUGGAGGUAUGCAGGGGAGAACGGAAUUCCUGGUGUAGCGGUGAAAUGCGUAGAUAUCAGGAGGAACACCGGUGGUGCAGACGGCUCUCUGGACCGUAACUGACGCUGAGACACGAAAGCGUGGGUAGCAAACAGG
rnacentral:rRNA from 1 species